GAAUACGUGGUUCGACAACAAAUCCUGCGGGGGCCUUCCCGAUCAAGCACAAGCAGCAGACACUGCUAUUUUUUUGGAAACUGCAAGAAGAGGAAUCGCCUAAAUCCCCAAGAAAAUUAUCACCCUGGGCCUUCAACAUUUCUUGGUCUACACAGCCCAGUUGAAACUGACAGACAAAUGGAUGAAGUGUGAUGGAUGGUGGGAAAGUUCCCUGGGUUCAUUUGCAUGAAUCAUGGGAGUGAGGUCGUUUGCGGUGCGGAGGCAGGCCUUCUCCAGUCGCGGUUUAAUGAACCGAGGCGCAGCACCUGCGACCCACUGAGCCGGAGCGCUGACCGCUGGAGGAGCAGCUGAGAGUUUUGGGCCUGGGGAUUUCAUUAGGGCCAAGUUCAUUAAGGAAAUGGAUCAGGACCCUCCAUUCUCUUGCAUUAUAUGAGGACUGGAUUCUGAGAGAGACCCUCGCGUGUGGAAGAAGCAAGCCUGUCACAUUUUGAUUGAGAAAAUACUAAUGGAGUUCCCAAAGCCAGCGACAUCUGAUGUGACGGAAAUUCUCCAUUCCUUUCCAAUGUGCCCAGCCCGUGCUGUACCCUGUGUGUGUCUGUGUGAGCUGAGCUCCACUUGAGGUAGGUGGUAUACACUCUAAGA